AAAAUGGGUCACAAGACGCGAGUAGCCAUGAAGUGGCUCGUACUUCUUUGUGUGCUUGUGGCGGCCUACCAUGCCUGGGGUGAUUCCUUGGAUAUAAACAGAAGCUAUAUUCCAAAUAUAUUACGAUCAGACAGAAACAUAGCAUGGCAAGAAAGAAGCGGGUUAUUGCAAGACAGAAGUGGCGCGGACUAUACCGGACAAUACGCUGAGCUUGCUUCUCCAGUACCAUCUCACGUAAACCUUGACGAACUGGUAGAAUCUCUUCGUGCCGCAAGCAACCACCCUUGAUGACCCGCUCGAACUUCUAGACGACCUUCGGCUAAGUAUCUAUAGUGACUGGUCAAUUAUAAUAAAUAAGUAACGGUACGAAAAUAAGAAAAUACCACAUCCGUAAUUUGACAUCACAAUAUAGAGUAUAAAACAAUAAAUCGUUGUGGUAGCUACAAGCUGCAAAAGGCUACAUUGGUAUUCAGGACAACGACAAGAAAUUGAAAAAGAAUGACGAAUACUUUUCUCUUAUUUCGAUAAAAACAACUGUAUGAAAAAAGAUUUAUUAUUGAGCUAAUUUCUUAACGACAAAAAAUAUGCUCUAUUUUUUGCCAGUCACUGUAUUUACGAACC